AUUCCCCUAGUAACGGCGAGCGAAGCGGGAAGAGCUCAAAUUUGAAAUCUGGUGGCCUCAGGUCAUCCGAGUUGUAAUCUAUAGAAGUGUUUUCCGUGCUGGCCCAUGUACAAGUCCCUUGGAACAGGGCGUCAUAGAGGGUGAGAAUCCCGUCCUUGACAUGGACUACCAGUGCUCUGUGAUACACUUUCAACGAGUCGAGUUGUUUGGGAAUGCAGCUCAAAAUGGGUGGUAAAUUCCAUCUAAAGCUAAAUAUUGGCGAGAGACCGAUAGCGAACAAGUACCGUGAGGGAAAGAUGAAAAGCACUUUGGAAAGAGAGUUAAACAGUAUGUGAAAUUGUUGAAAGGGAAACGAUUGAAGUCAGUCGUGCUCAAUGGACUCAGCCGUUCUGCGGUGUAUUUCCAUUGGGUGGGGUCAACAUCAGUUUUGAUCGCUGGAUAAAGGCAGGAGGAAUGUAGCACCCCCGGGUGAACUUAUAGCCUCUUGUCACAUACAGUGGUUGGGACUGAGGAACGCAGCAUGCCUUUAUGGCCGGGAUUCGUCCACGUACAUGCUUAGGAUGUUGACAUAAUGGCUUUAAACGACCCGUCUUGAAACACGGACCAAGGAGUCUAACAUAUCUGCGAGUAUUUGGGUGUUAAACCCAAGUGCGCAAUGAAAGUGAAUGUAGGAGGGA
rnacentral:rRNA from 1 species